UGAUCGCAAAAACCAUGUUCUGAGUUGACAUAUAUUCGUGAACCAAAACAGUUAGUCAGAAGUGGAACCAUAGAAGCUAAACAGCAAGUCACUCAGUCACCAGGAUUUCUAGGAAACGAAUGUCUAUUUACUUAGAAAGCAAGUGUCACAUUGUGCUUUGAAUGUGAGCUCUGCUGGUUGCCGCACCAGAAGUGAUAGUAAUGGGGAAAAAAUGGACUAUGGUGGAAAGGCGGUGUGGACGGAGUGGGGUAGAAGCUGGGCCCCUCUUUUGGGAUCUCUUGGGAUAGCCUUGUCCAGUGCUCAUUCCAUGACACUUCUGUGACCUGCUAUCUCUGUCCUAGGACAAGCCUGAGGUGUUUUUCUCUUCCC
rnacentral:lncRNA from 1 species